rnacentral:rRNA from 1 species
UGGGGAAUAUUGCGCAAUGGGGGGAACCCUGACGCAGCCAUGCCGCGUGAAUGAAGAAGGCCUUAGGGUUGUAAAGUUCUUUCGGUAUUGAGGAAGGUUGAUGUGUUAAUAGCACAUCAAAUUGACGUUAAAUACAGAAGAAGCACCGGCUAACUCCGUGCCAGCAGCCGCGGUAAUACGGAGGGUGCGAGCGUUAAUCGGAAUAACUGGGCGUAAAGGGCACGCAGGCGGUUAUUUAAGUGAGGUGUGAAAGCCCCGGGCUUAACCUGGGAAUUGCAUUUCAGACUGGGUAACUAGAGUACUUUAGGGAGGGGUAGAAUUCCACGUGUAGCGGUGAAAUGCGUAGAGAUGUGGAGGAAUACCGAAGGCGAAGGCAGCCCCUUGGGAAUGUACUGACGCUCAUGUGCGAAAGCGUGGGGAGCAAACAGGAUUAGAUACCCUGGUAGUCCACGCUGUAAACGCUGUCGAUUUGGGGGUUGGGGUUUAACUCUGGCGCCCGUAGCUAACAUGAUAAAUCGACCGCCUGGGGAGUACGGCCGCAAGGUUA